rnacentral:rRNA from 1 species
CCUACGGGAGACAGCAGUGGGGAAUAUUGCACAAUGGGGGAAACCCUGAUGCAGCGACGCCGCGUGAGCGAUGAAGGAUUUCGGUAUGUAAAGCUCUAUCAGAAGGGAAGAAAAUGACGGUAUCUGAAUAAGAAGCACCGGCUAACUACGUGCCAGCAGCCGCGGUAAUACGUAGGGGGCAAGCGUUAUCCGGAUUUACUGGGUGUAAAGGGCGCGUAGACGGCGGUGCAAGCCAGAUGUGAAAGCCCGGGGCUCACCCCCGGGACUGCAUUUGAAAAUGUGCUGCUAGAGUGUCGGAGAGGCAGGCGGAAUUCCUAGUGUAGCGGUGAAAUGCGUAGAUAUUAGGAGGAACACCAGUGGCGAAGGCGGCCUGCUGGACGAUGACUGACGUUGAGGCUCGAAAGCGUGGGGAGCAAACAGGAUUAGAUACCCCGGUAGUC